rnacentral:lncRNA from 1 species
AGCCAACUCAUGGUGACUGGGGUAGGGAAUGCACCAGAACCACUUCUGACCUCACCCUCGUCCUUCUCAGAUCUGACAAAGUAGCUUCCUCUGGCGGAACUAAGCCCACAUCCUGCUAGAGAGGGAGCCACUCUCUGCACACAGGGCAUGUGCAGGACAGUAUGCUUCUGGAGCAGCUCCUGUGCUCUGUGUGAGAGCUGAAGGGAAAGAGUGCUGCACCAGAACAGCUCGCCUGCUUUAUCUACAACAUGGGAACGCUGUUGGUAUAGGGUGGCUCCAGACAGGUACAGCAGGGACCUUGGCGUGGAGAAGCCACAGUUGCGGAGACCGAAUUGGAAAAGCAUCGCCAGUGGACCAUGUACAACAGAGUCAGGCUGGUGAAGGUUGCAUGUGCCCUGCAUCGAGGGACAAGAGGGCGCCAUGGGCACCAAGCACUUCACCACGGAGGAGCCCAGGGGCCUUGCCGGGAGGGGUGGGGCAGCCGUGCACACUGUGCACAAGGUUUUCUUCUGUGCACUCAUGCAUCACACUAGUCAUUCCUGGUAACAUUCACUAUUUAUAUUUUACUCAAAAUUCUAUUUAUACUGACUACUUCAAUGAUAAUUAACAGCACUCAGUGCAAAAAAAGUGAAUUCAUAUGCCAGGAUAGGAAUAACUCUCUUUGCAUUGGCACAGAAUCAGAUGAGAUAAAAACUGCAAGACCAGAUGAAAACCCACUUUCAAAAAAGUGCCAAGGUUUGACUUCUAGGUCUUAUAUAUUGGAAUUGUAUAUAGAUGUAUACAUUCUAUAUAGCCCUUAGAACUUUUGCUACCAGUCUUCCUAGUAAGGGCAUCUCAGGUUCAUGGGAAAUAGAUCUUUGAGCUGAAUAUAAUUUUUUUGAGGUACUAGGGCUUGAAGAACCUAGGGCCUUCCUAGGCAAGGGUUUAUCGUGGAAUUACACCCCCAGGACUUUUUACUCUUUAUCUUAAGCAAGGUUUCACUAAAUUGCUCAAACUGGCUUCAAACUUAUAAUCCUCCUGCCUUAGCCUUCCCAGUAUGUGGGACUGUAGGCAAGUGCCACCAUGCUGGGCUCAUCUAUGUGUUUUGAAUCUUAAUCUAACCUGGAAGAAAAUUCGAUAAAAUUCUAACUCUGAAUUUUUUCCUUUCUCUUCUUUUAUUUUCCAGGUCAGGUUUGAUUCAAUUUGCAGCCUUCAUUAACUAGUACACAGUAUAACCCUACUUCCUGCUUGUGUUCCCGGAAGUCCCUGCUCAUAGGUCACAGAGAACAGCCAGCUGAGCGGCAGUGCUGACGUCCACCAGCUGCCACUCCUGACGUGGAGAGUGCUGGAACCUGUGCCCCUUGGUGUUAGCCGAAGCUAAGAUUCAACUCUGACCUACCAGAAUUGCAAACGUGUAAGCAGUGCAGCUCAUGACAGGGCCCAGCCUAGGUAGCUUCUUCUACUUUGGCAAGAGGCAGUUUGUAAGUCAUGACAGGGGAAAUAGGUACAGCAUGUAUUCUGGACGGAAUUGUGUCUUCCCACUAUCCCGACUCCCGUGUUGAAUCCCUAACCCUGAAUGUGACUGCACUUAGUAAUAGGAACUUAAAAGAGGCAAUAAAGGUUAAAGGAGGUCAUGAGGGUGGGGCCCUAAUCCCACAUGACUGAUGUCUUUAUACGAAAAGGGAGAAACACCUGGGAGGCGCAGGCACAGAGAGCAGGCUCGGGAGGGUCAGGAGAGGGAGGGAGUGGGAGGGAGGGGCAAGGAGAAGGAAGCAGAAAGCAUGAAGAGGUGCCCUGUGCACCUACCAGCUCCCAGCGUGAAUGGAACCAUCGUGUGCUGCAAACACGACUAACAAAAAUAAGACAAGAAGUUGUUAGAAUUUAACAUAUGAGAUGUCUGUCUGCAAGCCACGGCAAGAGAUUGCAGGACAAACCAGCACUGCUAAUGCUUUGAUCUUGUACUUCUAGACUAUAGAAUUAUGAAAAAUAAAUUUCCAUCAUUCAAGCC